rnacentral:rRNA from 1 species
CAGCAGCCGCGGGAAUACGUAGGUGGCAAGCGUUGUCCGGAAUUAUCGGGCGUAAAGGGCUCGCAGGCGGUCUCUUAAGUCUGAUGUGAAAGCCCCCGGCUCAACCGGGGAGGGUCAUUGGAAACUGGGAAACUUGAGUGCAGAAGAGGAGAGUGGAAUUCCACGUGUAGCGGUGAAAUGCGUAGAGAUGUGGAGGAACACCAGUGGCAAAGGCGACUCUCUGGUCUGUAACUGACGCUGAGGAGCGAAAGCGUGGGGAGCGAACAGGAUUAGAUACCCGUGUAGUCCCUGUCUCUUAUAC